rnacentral:rRNA from 1 species
GACGAACGCUGGCGGCGUGCCUAACACAUGCAAGUCGAGCGAAUGAAGUUCCUUCGGGAAUGGAUUUAGCGGCGGACGGGUGAGUAACACGUGGGCAACCUGCCUCAUAGAGGGGAAUAGCCUCCCGAAAGGGAGAUUAAUACCGCAUAAGAUUGUAGUACCGCAUGAUACAGCAAUUAAAGGAGCAAUCCGCUAUGAGAUGGGCCCGCGGCGCAUUAGCUAGUUGGUGAGGUAAUGGCUCACCAAGGCGACGAUGCGUAGCCGACCUGAGAGGGUGAUCGGCCACAUUGGGACUGAGACCCGGCCCAGACUCCUACGGGAGGCAGCAGUGGGGAAUAUUGCACAAUGGGGGAAACCCUGAUGCAGCAACGCCGCGUGAGUGAUGACGGCCUUCGGGUUGUAAAGCUCUGUCUUCAGGGACGAUAAUGACGGUACCUGAGGAGGAAGCCACGGCUAACUACGUG